rnacentral:rRNA from 1 species
CCUACGGGAGGCAGCAGUGGGGAAUUUUGGACAAUGGGCGCAAGCCUGAUCCAGCAAUGCCGCGUGCAGGAUGAAGGCCUUCGGGUUGUAAACUGCUUUUGUACGGAGCGAAACGGUCUACUCUAAUACAGUGGACUAAUGACGGUACCGUAAGAAUAAGCACCGGCUAACUACGUGCCAGCAGCCGCGGUAAUACGUAGGGUGCGAGCGUUAAUCGGAAUUACUGGGCGUAAAGCGUGCGCAGGCGGUUAUAUAAGACAGAUGUGAAAUCCCCGGGCUCAACCUGGGACCUGCAUUUGUGACUGUAUAGCUAGAGUGCGGCAGAGGGGGAUGGAAUUCCGCGUGUAGCAGUGAAAUGCGUAGAUAUGCGGAGGAACACCGAUGGCGAAGGCAAUCCCCUGGGCCUGCACUGACGCUCAUGCACGAACGACGGUGGGGAGGACGAACGAGGAGUAGUAUACCCGUACGGUAGUACCGACCGACCCGUAACCGUACUGUC